rnacentral:rRNA from 1 species
UGGGGAAUUUUGGACAAUGGGCGAAAGCCUGAUCCAGCAAUGCCGCGUGUGUGAAGAAGGCCUUCGGGUUGUAAAGCACUUUUGUCCGGAAAGAAAUCCUUGGCUCUAAUACAGUCGGGGGAUGACGGUACCGGAAGAAUAAGCACCGGCUAACUACGUGCCAGCAGCCGCGGUAAUACGUAGGGUGCAAGCGUUAAUCGGAAUUACUGGGCGUAAAGCGUGCGCAGGCGGUUUGCUAAGACCGAUGUGAAAUCCCCGGGCUCAACCUGGGAACUGCAUUGGUGACUGGCAGGCUAGAGUAUGGCAGAGGGGGGUAGAAUUCCACGUGUAGCAGUGAAAUGCGUAGAGAUGUGGAGGAAUACCGAUGGCGAAGGCAGCCCCCUGGCAAGUACUGACGCUCAUGCACGAAAGCGUGGGGGAGCAAAACAGGAUUAGAUACCCUGGUAGUCCACGCCCUAAACGAUGUCAACUAGUUGUUGGGGAUUCAUUUCCUUAGUAACGUAGCUAACGCGUGAAGUUGACCGCCUGGGGAGUACGGUCGCAAGAUUAAAAACUCAAAUGAAUUGACGGGGUCAUAGCUGUUUCCU